GAUGAACGCUGGCGGCGUGCCUAAUACAUGCAAGUCGAGCGAACGGACGAGAAGCUUGCUUCUCUGAUGUUAGCGGCGGACGGGUGAGUAACACGUGGAUAACCUACCUAUAAGACUGGGAUAACUUCGGGAAACCGGAGCUAAUACCGGAUAAUAUUUUGAACCGCAUGGUUCAAAAGUGAAAGACGGUCUUGCUGUCACUUAUAGAUGGAUCCGCGCUGCAUUAGCUAGUUGGUAAGGUAACGGCUUACCAAGGCAACGAUGCAUAGCCGACCUGAGAGGGUGAUAGGCCAAACUGGAACUGAGACACGGUCCAGACUCCUACGGGAGGCAGCAGUAGGGAAUCUUCCGCAAUGGGCGAAAGCCUGACGGAGCAACGCCGCGUGAGUGAUGAAGGUCUUCGGAUCGUAAAACUCUGUUAUUAGGGAAGAACAUAUGUGUAAGUAACUGUGCACAUCUUGACGGUACCUAAUCAGAAAGCCACGGCUAACUACGUG
rnacentral:rRNA from 1 species